rnacentral:rRNA from 1 species
CGGCAACAGCUCAAAUUUGAAAUCUGGUCCCCUCGCGGGGCCCGAGUUGUAAUUUGCAGAGGAUGCUUUUGGCGAGGCGCCUUCCGAGUUCCCUGGAACGGGACGCCAUAGAGGGUGAGAGCCCCGUCUGGUCGGACGCCUAGCCUCUGUAAAGCUCCUUCGAC